rnacentral:rRNA from 1 species
UGGCGGACGGGUGAGUAGUGUCUGGGAAACUGCCUGAUGGAGGGGGGAUAACUACUGGAAACGGUAGCUAAUACCGCAUAACGUCGCAAGACCAAAGAGGGGGACCUUCGGGCCUCUUGCCAUCGGAUGUGCCCAGAUGGGAUUAGCUAGUAGGUGGGGUAACGGCUCACCUAGGCGACGAUCCCUAGCUGGUCUGAGAGGAUGACCAGCCACACUGGAACUGAGACACGGUCCAGACUCCUACGGGAGGCAGCAUG